UGGCCUAGCAAAUAUAAUUGAAUCUCUCCGAUGACGGAUUUUCUUUUCACAGUCUUGGGGCCAUGAUAGUGGAGUCAGUUCUUUAGGCACCAAGAAAUGGAUGUAAAGUAAGACUCUUCUGGGAAGUUAGACUCAAUUUGCUCUGAUCUUGACCAUACCUUGGAAUUGAUUUUUUUUUUUUUUUGGUCUUUUUAGGGCCACACCCAUGGCAUAUGGAGGUUCCCAGGCUAGGGGUCUAAUUGGAGCUGUAGCCACUGGCCUACGCCACAGCCACAGCCAAGCCAGAUCCAAGCUGCAUCUGUGGCCUGCACCACAGCUUAACGGCAAUGCGGGAUCCUUUAACCCACUGAGCAAGGCCAGGGAUGAACCCACGUCCUCAUGGAUACUAGUCAGGUUAAUUAACUGCUGAGCCACAGCAGGAACUCCGGAAGUUGAUUUUUAAUAAGUAAAUUGCGUAUAUGAAUUGUCUUCUCAAUGUUUUACCUUUUUUUUUCCUUAGUGAAAUAAAAAGUGUAUGAGCUACAUUUGUAAAAAUGAAAAAUACCUUACCAAUCAAAAUAUCAUCAUGAUAUCAACAUCUUCAUAGGAGGCAUAGACACCAUACUGGAAGGUCUAACUUGAUUAAAUGCUUUGUCUCGAGAUUUUCAAAAUUUCAAAGGAGGUAUGCCCUUUGUCAGUAAGUUUUCAGAUUUUAUGUGUGAUAAUAAGUAUGAUCCUAACUAGCAGUGCUUGAGCUUUGACUGUUUACCAGGGACUGUUCUGAGUUUUUCAAGUCAUAACGUAGUUAUUCCUCACAACCACUCCAUCAAGAGGCACUGCACUUAUCUCCAUUUUUCCAAUAAUGAAUCUGAGGCUUAUGAAGAUUAAGAAAUCUGUCCCAAGUCCUAUAGCUAGUAGCUAGCUGAGCAGGAUUUGAACAGCCUGAUGCAUGAACCUCUGCUCAUUAAUACCAGGCCAUCACUCCUCAAAGGCGCGUGGGUGUGGUGGUUGCAGAAGAGGUGACUUAAGACUUACUGACUUUUGCUGUGGGCCUUGCAUGGUGUAUGAUUUUAGUACUCUUGUUUGUAUUAUCUUAUUUAGUUUCAAAACAAUUCUACUAGGUCAAUUUAUUAUUCAUAUUUUACAAAUGAAGAAAUCUAGGCUCAGAAUAGGUAAACCCUUUAUCUGAGAUUCCUGGGCUUCUGAUAAUUGAGGGAAGCAGAAAUUUGAACCUGAUAACCCCAAUUCAGGUUCUAGUCAAUAGUAUUAUUAAGGAAUGAAACUUUUGUUCCAAGAAAAGUCAUUUUUAUAACGUUUAAGAGAUUUAAGUUUCCUGUAUACCACCCUAACCCUAGCAAAGAUGUGCGUUUCCUUUUUAAGUUAAAUCUAUUUGUUCUGCCUUGGAAUUGUCCCAUUUCUGUCUGUGGAGUUUCUUUAAGUCAUUACUCCUAAUGUUAAGUCCUUUAGCACCCUGAAGGGAGAGUGUCCCUGUGGUGCCACUAGCCACUUACUUGUACAAGGUCUUGAGAACAUUUUUAGAGAAAGAUAAAUGGCAGCACCACUUGGAAACUAAUUAAAAAUAAAUUUCUCUUUGAGUGAACGCUGGCUUUGAGCCUACCAAGACACAGAAGGUUGUCUCAGUUUCCUUUGCCGUUUCUGACACCAUUUAGAACUUCCUGGUGUAAUAAAAAGGGGUUUUAAUGGGAAGUUUUUUUAUGUUUAUUUUUUUCCUGAUGCAGUGGGAGGAAUAGCCAGUUUUAUUAAAUGUAUACAGAAUGGACUUCUAGCAGGUCCUGCAGAGUCCUGGUGAAUCUCCACUGUUGUAUGGCCAAGUCCUUUGGAUGUCUUUUGGGUUGCUUUGGCAGUAAGCGGGCAUCUUCUAACCAGCCCACUGUGACUCAUGGGGAAGUCUGUAUCUCAAUGUUUUUUAAUGACUGUUUGAAUGGGUUAGGCCUCCCCGACACCUCAUUUUCCUGGCUUGUCUUCUCUUCUGUUUACCUUGGCUCCACCUUUGGCUCAGCUGGACACCACAGGCUUCACCAGAGUCAUCUGGAAUGCAAGCGCAUCCCACGAAGUCUCCCACCUCCCCAAGGCUCAGAGAGAAUUGGAAUCAUCUCUGGGUGGCUGGUGGUUGGUCAUCCCCAGUCAAAUCUGCACAAGUGGAGAAACUGCUUGGGCUUGUGAGUCUGUAUAUAUUUGACAUUCUCACAGUCACAUCUUUGAGUCCAAGAAAUAUAUUUCUCUUCCUCCUUGAUUUUAGUGGUUAAUUAUGCAGGCCCUGAAAAAUGAGUUUUAGUUACUACCCACAGGCCAACAAAGUGGGUUCUUCGGAACAGCUGUGAUUACCCAGAGAUGUUACAUUGUAUCUUUCUGUCCGUGCAGUUUUUUUUUUUAAUUUUUUUGUAUUUCCCCCAUAUGUUUUUCUUCUACUGUAUAGAAUGGUGACCCAGUUACACAUACAUGUAUACAUUCUUUUUUCUCAUAUUGUCAUGCUCCAUCAUAAGUGACUAGACAUAGUUCCCAGUGCUACACAACAUGGAUGGAACCUAGAGACUCUGAUACUGAGUGAAGUAAGUCAGAAAGAGAAAGACAAAUACCAUAUGAUACCACUUAUAUUUGGAAUCUAACAUACGGCACAAAUGAACCUUUCCACAGAAAAGAAAAUCCAUGCAGUUUUAACAUCAUAGCUUUCCUGGGCACCUGCUUGCUUGGCGGACUAGAGACUCAGACUCAUUUCUCACUUCCUAUGUCCAUAUGGAUUAUUUUUUAUCAUGUGAUGAUUUGGCAGACAUUUUCUAAAAAUCUCUAGCCUGCCUUUUCACAGCUCUGGUAAAGCGUCGUCAGCUGAACCCACAUACCUGACUUGUGAAGUGGCAUUUCCCCAGAAACAGGAAUGGGAGGAAGAAACGUGGCUGCAUGAGGGCUCUUUCUUGUGAAAGUUCCCCUCUAAUCUUAGUAUGAUUUUUCUGAUCCAGAGGGAACUAUGGGACCCUGACACCAGCCCUUCCCAGCUUGCCACCAGCCUUGUUUUAACCUUCAUUGCAAAUGCCGGGAUCAGUGCUUAGUUGUGUAACAAAGAGGUUAUUUCAGGGUGGCAUUUUAUCUCCUACUCAGGCUCUUUCAGAUCUGGCUGGAUGCUCAACAUAAUCCUUUUGUGUAACUCCCACAGGCUGCAAUUCUGUAGCUUGGGUAGUGGUCAGAGGAGCUCUAAUGCCAGAACAAAUGAUGCUGCUAAAAGAAAAGAGUCUCUCCUCAAAAUGCCUCACAAAGGAGACUUUCUUUGCUCCUCCUGGUACAUGUGGUAAGCAUAGAAAUAGUUUAUUAUGAAAGUCUUUCAGCCACAGGUCUUUCUAAGGCGUAAUUGUACCCUCCAGGGAAACCAAAAUAAAUACCAGCCUAAUAAACUUCAGAUUUUGAAAAAUAAGUUAUCCUAUUACAUUUCUGCAAGAAGAAAAAUAUGAGAGGUUGACGUGUGUUCUUAUUCUGCUUUGAUUUACUUCCCAUGAUGUCCCGUCCCAACCCAACCCAGACUUAAAACAGAAGAAAGUACUUCAUCAUUUGAAGCCUUAUGAUGGUACAAAAUCCAGCCUUUUAGACGCGAAAGUGGAAAAGUUCAUUUUGAUGCCAACUUUGGAAUUUCUUAGAACAAAACACAUACAUGCCUACUUUUUUUUUUUUUCUUGGUGUUUAAUGAUAGAUAUGUCUCUGUAUUCCUUGCAAAGGAUGUCUUCCUUCCAGGUUUCCAUUCACUUGUUUCUCAUAUAGCCAUGGUCCACCUGAUCUUGCUGGCUCUCUCUGCCCUGUCUUUGUCCCAUCCCUUGGUCUCUCCUCAUGUCCAGUUCUCUCACUAAGCCCUUAGCCUUCUCCUGUCUCCCUACUCAGUCUGGACCAAAUGUAUGAACUGCAGCCUGCAUUCUGCCAGCUCUUCAGCUGCACAUGCCUGUCCCAUUCCAUCUCUAAAGUAUGCCCGUUGUUUCACUUCUCCCCUUUCUCAGUCUAUAAGACUGAUAAUUACCUUGUCGUCCCCAUCCUUAAAUGUGGCUACUAUCCCCAACCAAGAUUCCUCUGGCUAUUCAUUAUUGCUUUUGCUUUAUCAUUGUUUUGUUAAAUAAAGGUAUAAAAAAGAAUGUAAUGUAUAUCCAGGUACCCAUCUCCCAGCUUGAAAAGUAAAAUAUUUCCAGGGUAGUUGAUGCCCCCGUUGGAAUUCUGAUCAUUUCCUCUCAGAGCCCAGGGGUAAUAACCACAGUUCUGAAUUUUGUGUGUAUGUUAUGAAUUUCCUCGUACACAUUCCACAUGUAUAAAUCUGCAUAUAUUAUAUAGUAGGUUUAAUUUUGAAAAAUUGCAUCUUGCUAUUAUGUACUUCUAAACUUUUAAAAAAACUGGACAUUAUGUUUAUGAGAUUAAUUCGGUUGCUCUCCUUUGCUCUUCCACUACUAUAUAAUAUUCUGGUUUGACUGUGCUAUCAUUUAUUCUAUUUCAAGAACCACCAUAAGUCUAACCUUUUCUGGUCUUUGUACUAUUUACACCUCCCAUCCCAGUGACAUGUCCCUUUUAUGCUUCUCAGUGAUGGGUCUUUACCCUUAGUCGUCUUUCCUUUUUUGAACUUUAUCCAGGAUGUUGAAAUUCUCCUCAUUUUUUAAAAUCUUAAUGAAAUACUUUUUUAUCCAUGUACAUCUUAUACUCCUUAUCGUAUUCUAACUUUAUAUUACAGUUAUUUGGGUGUAUAUUUGCUUAGCCAACUGUGAGCAGGAACCACGUGGUAAUUGCCUCAAACAUAGUAGGACCUCAUUAAUUAAAAUCAUCAUCAUCAUCAUUAAAUUGAAUUGAGUGGAUCAUUUGCUUCCCAGCCCUGCUGUUAAAAUGCUUUAAUGCUGCUAAUGAAGGAGAGACUAGAAAAAGAGCACAUAUUUUAAUUCUUUAUUGCAGUUUUCUAACAUUUCUGGUUUCUGAUAAGUGCUUGUAGCAUGCUAACCACCCUUAGCAGUCAUCCUUAGCAUGUCAAAGCGGGGGCAAGGUAGAGGAGAAAAGUGACUUUAGAAAGAGAGACAGACUCUUCAUAAAAGACCACAUUCUCCCCUCAGUGGCAUCUAACUAAAGCAUGCUUGAACCUGCUCCAUCCCUGUCUCGGGGCCAGAUCCUUCCAGCCGUUCAGGUGGUAGUUUGGGUUGAUGACCUGUCAUGAAUUAUGUGCUCCAACUUGUGCUCUGCUCCCAGAGUAGAAAGCAGAUUGCAGCUGCUGGUGAAUAAGAGAAGCCUGAGUCCACUGUGUCCGCAUUUCCAUCUUGAAGGAAGUGGGAGAAAUGAGGCCAGUGGUUUGAUAAAUUAUAUCAAAAAUAGUCCCUUCAUGCUAAUGGAGUGUGAAGAAGCUGAUGUACUGGAGAUGAUCUAUAAUAUUUCAUAUUUCUCUGAGGAGAAAAAUGAUAAACUUGAUGAUGUGUGAUUUAUUCAUGUUUCUCCAGAUGAAGGAAAAAAUCCUUAAGUCAACUGCCUAUUUCUCACUCCCAGAAGCUGGUUUGUGGAUUUUACGCUGGGCUUGGAGGCUGGGCUUGUUUAGAGAAAAUGCCUAGAGAGACUUUGAUUAAUCACCAGACCUUUGGCAGUUGGUUGGGAGAGGGUAAUUAUGCCAGCAUUGCUGCUAUUUUAUCAUCACUGUUUUAUGGCUCUACACCACCAGGUGACAAAUGUGUUAAUUAUUACAUUUCUUAUCCAGGACUUCUCUUGGCUGCCCCUCCCCUCGUGGUUUUAGCCCCGAGUCCUUCCCUGCAGCUCAGCCCUGGACAGCAGUAACUUCUGCAAUCAAAGAGCCGUUCUUUGGAAGUCAUGCUGAGAGGGAUGUGGUUGUCAGCCCUGCUGUGUGCAGACUCUAACCACAGGGGAUCUGGUUAAUUCCCUUUCCUUUUCCUUCUGCCCAUCACCCUUUGGGUCAAGUGCUGCUCAGAGCCAGAAGCUCUACUUGCUUCUUUAAUAACUGAAAAUGGCACCCCUGGCCUGGGCCAUUUCACUCUAAAUAGCCCCCUGGAGGAGUUUGGAAACAGAGGUUGUCAUAGGCAAAGCGAUUUAGCAGGUAAAAUUGUUUCUCUCUCUCUCUCUCCCUUUUUUUUUUUUUUGUCUUUUUGCUACCCCUUCCUUUAUUGGCCACUACCCAUAAUAGAAGAUUUCUCUUUAUCCACCUCCCACCCCUCUUAUCCAUUUCCUCCCUGAGCUCUAACUUGUCCCCUCAUAGGUCACCUGCCCUAAUUUCCCAAGAAUGUAGUCAAUGCAUUUGCUAGUUUUAGUCUUGUGAUUAUGUUUAGGCUUAAGACUGACCUUUAUAAGAUAAAUGAUUUGCAUUUUAAUAAGACUUUUGGAGACUCUUUCUAGAAGGUUACCAUUCAUGGAAGUGGUAGAGAUUUGGGGAGAAAAGGAGGCCUUCCAGAGAGUCUGGAGAUGUUUGGUAAAGUGGCCAUUUUCUCCAUGUUUGUAGGAUCAGCCAAAUGGAUGGAUCUCUGAGGUCAUGGCUGCCCCUCUGCUCAGAUCAUUUUUCUAGUCUCAAACUAUACAUUCCAUUCUUUCAAAUCUGCUAUAAUUCCAUUUACAAGUAUACCUCAUUUUAUCGCACUUUGCAGGUAAUGUGUUUUUUUACAAAUUGGAGGUUUGUGGCAACCCUGCAUCGAGCAAGUCUAUCCGGUGCCAUUUUCCCAACAGUGUUCACUCCCUUCGUGUCUCUGUGUCACAUUUUGUUAGUUCUCACAGUAUUUCAAACUUCUCAUUAUUAUUAUAUUUGUUGUGGUGAACUGUGAUCUUUGAUACUACUAUUGCAAAAAAAUUAUGACUCACUGAAGGCAUAGAUGAUGGUUAGCAUUUUUUAGCAAUAGUUUUUGGUAUGAAUACUUUUAAAAAAUGUAAUGCUAUUGUCCAUUUAACAGACUACAGUAUACGUGUAAACAUAACUUCUGUAUGCAUUGGGAAACCCAAAUCAUGUGAGUCACUUUAUUGUGGGAUUUGCUUUAUUGUGGUACACUUGAACCAAAACUGCAGUAUUUCCAAGGUCUGCCUUUGCAGAUACCAUGCUGGUGAUUUUAGGAAAACAGAUUUCAUUGUAUAAAUAGGUUGCAGGUUCUAGCGAUUUAGAAAUUUUCAAGACUUUCUUGGAAUGUGAUUUCUAGGUAAUAACGGGGUUAGGACCUACUGCUUUAAAAUAUGGCUUCUUGGCAUAUUGACUAUUUCAAGCUAAAGGAAUUUGAGAAUGGCAGGUGCAGGAAGGACUUUCGACCUUCCUCUGAAGCAGAUCCUAAGAUCCUUAUGUGAGAGGUGCCCUUCCUAUUCCUGGAGGAGAGGAGCGUCCUUAUCUCUAAAGUUGGGGGGACUCUGAGAGGAAUCUGAAUGAAGAGAUUAGUACAUUGAGCUCACUCCCUUUGUUUCAUCACAUUUUUCCAUGACUUCCUACUCUUAGUCAAACCGAGCAUAAAAAUGCCCACGCUUGGAAUUCCCAUUGUGGCUCAGCUGUAAGGAACCUGACUAGUUCACAUGAGGAUGCGGGUUCCAUUCUCAGCCUCACAGUGGGUUAAGGAUCUGGUGUUGCUGUGAGCUGUAGUGUAGGUCAUAGACACGGCUUGGAUCUGGCUUUGCUGUGGCUGUGGCACAGGCCGGCAACUGCAACUCCUAUUUAGCUCUUAGCCUGGGAACUUCCAUGUGCCACGGGUGUGGCCCUAAGAAAAAGAAAAAAAAAAAAAA
rnacentral:lncRNA from 1 species